rnacentral:sRNA from 1 species
AACAGUAACAAAAAUCAUUGACAUGACUACUAUGUCAAAAAAUAGCAAAAUAACAGAAUAACAGAAUAACUAGCAGAGCGAACUAGCUGGACAAA